rnacentral:rRNA from 1 species
ACAGGCGUAGUCGAUGGAGAACCGGUUGAUAUUCCGGUACCCGCUAUGCAGCGUCAAACAUCGAAUCAGGUGAUGCUAAGUCCGUGAUACCGCUUGUGCCGGCUUUGCCGGUGCGGGUUUGGUGGAGCCGACGGCCCGAGCUUGUAGUAGGUGAGUGAUGGGGUGACGCAGUGAGGUAGUCCAGCCCGGGUGGUGGUUGUCCCGGGGUAAGGGUGUAGCCCGGUGUGCAGGUAAAUCCGUGCGCCGUUACAGGGGUGAGACCUGAUGCCGAGCCGUUUGUGGUGAAGUGGGU